UUCCUACAAAAACUAAAAUACAUUUUCUUAAAACAAAAACAGGUUUCAUGUGAGAAAAAUGAAUCUAUUUUGUGUUAAUUCACAUUAAAAAGGUAUAUUGACUCCUUAAAGUUUGGAUUUAUAACCUAAAUAUUUUCUCCUUUAUGGCAUUUAAUCGUCUGAGCCACAGAAACUCCUCCUCUUCCUCAUGUUUUGAGGUCCGAGGCGACGCAGAGCCAGCAGUCGAUCCUGAAUCCUCGGCACAGAGAGCCUGUUUGCUUUCCAGGAACCCAGCGUGAGAAACCUGGACGUCUUCCAGAUGGUUUAUAUCAGCAGCCUGACAGCAGUAGGGGGAACCUUUUUCUAAAUCAGGAAACUGGGCCGUGUUUUCCUUUCUUUUUUAUCCCAGUCGAUUCUCCAGACGCCCCAAACAUGGAAAAAAUGGGAAAAAAAGGAAAACCUUUGACGUCCUGUUUCACAGUCGACUGAUCUGAAGGAGAACCUGAAGCGUUCUUCAGCUGAACACUGAAGUUCCUACAGACAUUAAAGUUGCUGUUUAUGAGUCAAUCUGAGAUGCUUUAUUCUCACACAUCUAAAUUUGUAAAAAUAAUGGAGAUUAUUAGUGAAAAACAUCCCAAUUUCACAGGAAGUUCUCCAGCUGCUUCAGUAAUGUUCAGUUCUGAGCUUAAAGGUAUCUGGUCCAUCUCUGUUCGACAUCACUGCAACAUACGGUCCAAAAGAGACUGGUUCCGUGUUCAUAAUCCCAGUCUUCAACAUCAGCCCCAACCAUGACUCAACCUCCGCUGUGCUUCAUGGAUGAACCCUGCAGCUGGACAAGAAUCGUUUAUUUUCCUCCCAACUAUUAUUUCUCGCUUUUAAGACACGUUGCCACUGAAUUUACUCAUAAAAAUGAAACGGAUCAACCUAAUUUAUGGCGGAUCUGCUUAAUCAGGUCGGUGCUUCAGACUUUUAGAAACCGUUUUACUAAAGAAGAAAAAUGCUCAGAAUCUUUUGGACAAAAAUAAUCAAGUUGUGACUUUUCGGUUUGUUUAACAUACAGUUGAAAAUUGGUUCUCGCAAAGGUGUCUGUGAGUGAAAAAACAAAUAUAAUCCAAAAAGAAAAACUCUAAAAAGGACCUUAAUAAAACCUGGAGAACUGUUAA